rnacentral:rRNA from 1 species
GCAGCCGCCGCGGGAAUACGAAGGGGGCUAGCGUUGUUCGGAUUUACUGGGCGUAAAGCGCACGUAGGCGGACUUUUAAGUCAGGGGUGAAAUCCCGGGGCUCAACCCCGGAACUGCCUUUGAUACUGGAAGUCUUGAGUAUGGUAGAGGUGAGUGGAAUUCCGAGUGUAGAGGUGAAAUUCGUAGAUAUUCGGAGGAACACCAGUGGCGAAGGCGGCUCACUGGACCAUUACUGACGCUGAGGUGCGAAAGCGUGGGGAGCAAACAGGAUUAGAUACCCCCGUAGUCCCUGUCUCUUAUAC